rnacentral:rRNA from 1 species
CAGUAGCCGCGGGAAUACGAGGGGGGCAAGCGUUGUUCGGAAUUAUUGGGCGUAAAGGGUGCGUAGGCGGUUUCGUAAGUCUUAUGUGAAAUCUAUGGGCUCAACCCAUAGUCUGCAUGGGAAACUGCGAGGCUUGAGGAUGGGAGAGGUGAGUGGAAUUUCCGGUGUAGCGGUGAAAUGCGUAGAUAUCGGAAGGAACACCUGUGGCGAAAGCGGCUCACUGGACCAUUUCUGACGCUGAUGCACGAAAGCUAGGGGAGCAAACAGGAUUAGAUACCCCGGUAGUCCCUGUCUCUUAUAC